rnacentral:rRNA from 1 species
GAUGAACGCUGGCGGCGUGCCUAAUACAUGCAAGUCGAGCGAACGGACGAGAAGCUUGCUUUUCUGAUGUUAGCGGCGGACGGGUGAGUAACACGUGGAUAACCUACCUAUAAGACUGGGAUAACUUCGGGACACCGGAGCUAAUACCGGAUAAUAUUUUGAACCGCAUGGUUCAAAAGUGAAAGACGGUCUUGCUGUCACUUAUAGAUGGAUCCGCGCUGCAUUAGCUAGUUGGUAAGGUAACGGCUUACCAAGGCAACGAUGCAUAGCCGACCUGAGAGAGGGGUAGGCGACAGUGGAAGUGGGACACGGUCCAGACUCCUACGGGAGGCAGCAGUAGGCAAUCGUCCGCAGUAGGCGGAAGCCUGACGCAGCAACGGCGCGUGAGUUGUGGAGGUCUUGGGAUCGUGAAACUGUGUUAUUAGGGAUGAACAUAUGUGUAAGUAGCUGUAGACAUAUUGACGGUACCUGAUCAGAAAGCAACGGCUAACUACGUG